AUGCCACAGCGUCUUUAUUUUGCCUUGGUUUGGGGUUCCUUGUCGAAAUGCUUGCGCAGACUAACACGGCGGCAACUCCGAAACAGGGCCUCAAACUUUGCCACGGGACGGGGAGCUGGAACCGCCGCCCCCCCCCCCGUUGGCCGAGAAAAGAGCCCUCACAGCCGCGGAGCCCGUGCCUUGGUUUAUGAGCCCGACCUUGUCGUGGAGGGCCUGCCUCGGGCUCGUCUGGAGGCUCUCUUUCUUUGGGGGGGGGUGAGGGGGGUCAUGAAGGGGGAAUCGCCGGAUCACGGAAGAGCAGCCCUGAAGGGGCCAAGACCUCUUUCCUCUUGCCCACAGAGGAGGGGGGGCUGGCAGGAGAGAAACAGCCCCGGUCGGCACCCACUGGGGCCAGGGCCAAGGCUCCGUCACGCCAGCCGCCUGCCCGCCGUCCUUCUACCCCCCCACCCCCCCUACCCACCCUAUACCUCCAGCUCCUGGNACUCGCACUGCUCCAGCAGCUUCCGGUAACUGAAGGCGCCGCUCGCCGCCGCCAUCACCGCCACUGGCAUCUUCGCGCCCCCACGGCCGCUUCAGCUCCCCUCCCGGCAGACGCUGCCCCAAACACCCCGGCGACGGCACUACCCGAGAGAGACCGAGAGAGAAACCACUGCGCGUGCGCACUCGUUCGCGCACCUUCCACUUCCGGCCGACAGACGUCACGUCACUCCCUCCUCUCUCGCCCCCACUCCUCGAACCAGCCGGAGGACCGGAAGAGGACGAGGAGGGAACGCGUGGGCUGCGGGAGCCGGACUCGAGUCUUUCCUCGGCUGUGAGGGGAGGGAGCGGCUGUCCGUAAAAAGGAAACAUUUGAACUGUCACCGUCGGUGUGAUCCGUAAAGGCCCCGCCCUCUUCUCCUUGCGGGGCUCUUUCUGGCCCAUAUCUUUUUUCGUUUGAACGAUGGAGGUGUUGCGGUUUUUAAAGAGGCAUUUAAAAAUAGCUUUGCCGGAGCACCUGCCGCCUAUUAUCCACGCAGGUCCGCUCCUUGGAGGGAGAAAGAGAGAGGAGGUGCGGCUUUGAGAGAGAGAAAGAGAGAGAGAGUAAUAGAAUCCACUGUUAGUAGCAUAUAGGAAAUUACGAAGAGAGAAGCUGAGGGAGGGUUGCGCUCUGUGGCAGCAUAAAAACAUAAAAUCCGUCGACACUAAAAGGACAAAGUGAAUUGCUAGGUGGGGCCAAUUGUCUUAUACGUUAAGAUCUCUGAAAGGGAAUUAACAGCACAUGUCAUCAUAAGACGUGUUCUUGUUUAUGAUUAUGAUAAUUAUAUGAAGAGUAUAUUUUAUUUAAGUAAUUACAUAAGUCUAACACCUGGGAGCAAACGGGGUUCCCUGCUUCUGUUGGAAAAGCAUU
rnacentral:lncRNA from 1 species